AAAAAAUACAAAUAAGUGAGAAAACUUCGGGGGCCCAUUUUCGAACGAGGACGCGCGACAAUUUUUUUUUCCUUUCCUUCUUUCUUUUUCUUCCUUUUCUUUUAAUAAUUUUGUUUUUUUAUCGAUAAAUUCGUAAGAAUAAAAAAAAGAGUAAUAGAAGAGGGAGAGAAUAAAAAAAAUGAAUUUCGCGCGUCCGCGUUCCUCGGCACGUGUGCGUUUUAUUGCAAACCUUCUUCAGAAUAUUUACAAUAAACAAACGGAACGAAAAAAAGAACACGCAUAUCCAUAUAUAUAAAUAUAUAUAUAUGUGUGUGUGUGUAUGUAUGUGUACGUGUAGUAUAUGUGUGUUUGCUUUUAUGUUUAUGCAUAAUUCAAUACGAUAAUCGUGUUGUUGCAUGGAACCAAUAAUUUACUUAUGAUUUGCAUAUAUGAUAUAUACACACACACACACAUAUAUAUAUAUAUUUAUAUAUACAUAUAAAUAUAAGUACGUGUGAAUUACGAUAUCAGACUCAAAACGUUACGCGUAAUAAUUAAAACUAUUUUCACCGUAUUUCGAGGUGUGCGUGUUUAUAUACACGCUCAAAAUAAUUUCUUUUUUUUUCCUUGUGUGUUAGGUAUUUUUUUUUUUUUUUUUAACACAAACGUGAGUCUGCGUAUCGAAAUUUUACACCCCAUUCUUUUAUUUUUUUUGGUUGAUUUUUGAACGAAUGUAAAUUGAUAAUAUUACAAAUACAAUGCACGUUUAUGUAUGUUGUGUGUUAUACCAAUACAUAUUACGUGUACUUUAAAUACGUACGUACCAAAAAAAAAAAGAACAAAGUAAAAGUAAAAGAAAGUUACAAAAUAAUACCGUACUCAAGAUCGGAGAAACUCGUACUCGUGAUGAUGAUGAUGAUGAUGAUGAUGAUGAAAGAGAUGUAGAGAAAGAGAAGAUGUAUCCAUCCAACCAACUUGCCCCAGGCUCCUGCCCAUCUUUGACACAAGACCAUUCAAGACAACAACAACAACAACCAGAGAACAUCCAAGCAAAUCCCUUAUGGGCUUACGUGUGUGUGAGAGAGCAAUAAGAGAAAUAAAAAAGAAAAUAAUUUUGGUGUACGCGACACAGAUCUAUAAGAAAAAAUUUUUUCACGCGCAAAACUAUUCGAGAUAUUGUUUUAUAUACAUUUUAAAUAGGUAUGUGUGUAUUAUUAUAUUUGAUAUAAGUUUUCUUUACUAAUUUUACUUUACUUUUUUUUUUCUUUUCUUUUUUUUGCCGAAACAAAUGUUCCGUCGUAUCUGGUUCGACGUGUACGUAUGAAAAA